rnacentral:rRNA from 1 species
UACACGAGCGGCGAACGGGUGAGUAACACGUGGGUGAUCUGCCUCGCACUUCGGGAUAAGCCUGGGAAACUGGGUCUAAUACCGGAUAUGACCUUUCAGUGCAUGCUGUUGGGUGGAAAGAUUUAUCGGUGCGAGAUGGGCCCGCGGCCUAUCAGCUUGUUGGCGGGGUAACGGCCCACCAAGGCGACGACGGGUAGCCGACCUGAGAGGGUGACCGGCCACACUGGGACUGAGACACGGCCCAGACUCCUACGGGAGGCAGCAGUGGGGAAUAUUGCACAAUGGGCGAAAGCCUGAUGCAGCGACGCCGCGUGAGGGAUGACGGCCUUCGGGUUGUAAACCUCUUUCGACAGGGACGAAGCGCAAGUGACGGUACCUGUAGAAGAAGCACCGGCCAACUACGUGCCAGCAGCCGCGGUAAUACGUAGGGUGCGAGCGUUGUCCGGAAUUACUGGGCGUAAAGAGCUUGUAGGCGGUUUGUCGCGUCGUCCGUGAAAACUUGGGGCUCAACCCCAAGCUUGCGGGCGAUACGGGCAGACUUGAGUACUUCAGGGGAGACUGGAAUUCCUGGUGUAGCGGUGAAAUGCGCAGAUAUCAGGAGGAACACCGGUGGCGAAGGCGGGUCUCUGGGAAGUAACUGACGCUGAGAAGCGAAAGCGUGGGUAGCGAACAGGAUUAGAUACCCUGGUAGUCCACGCCGUAAACGGUGGGUACUAGGUGUGGGUUUCCUUCCACGGGAUCCGUGCCGUAGCUAACGCAUUA